GACGAACGCUGGCGGCGUGCUUAACACAUGCAAGUCGAACGGAAAGGCCCUGCUUGCAGGGUGCUCGAGUGGCGAACGGGUGAGUAACACGUGGGUGAUCUGCCCCUUACUUUGGGAUAAGCCUGGGAAACUGGGUCUAAUACUGGAUAGGACCAUGCUGUAGGUGGUGUGGUGGAAAGAUUAGUUUCGGUAAGGGAUGAGCUCGCGGCCUAUCAGCUUGUUGGUGGGGUAAUGGCCUACCAAGGCGUCGACGGGUAGCCGGCCUGAGAGGGUGGACGGCCACAUUGGGACUGAGAUACGGCCCAGACUCCUACGGGAGGCAGCAGUGGGGAAUAUUGGACAAUGGGCGCAAGCCUGAUGCAGCGACGCCGCGUGGGGGAUGACGGCCUUCGGGUUGUAAACUCCUUUCAGCCAUGACGAAGCCCUUGUGGUGACGGUAGUGGUAGAAGAAGCACCGGCUAACUACGUG
rnacentral:rRNA from 1 species